CAAGUGAGACGCAAGUUAAUAAAGAUGAGCUCCGCAAAAUCUUAUUAUAACGAAUUAAGUGACAAAACCGGAAAGUGCUCUUUAUGUUCUAAAAUAAUUAAAACAAGUGGAAAUACUUCAAAUUUACUGUCGCACCUUAAAAAUAGGCACCAGGCUGCAUACACAAAAUGUGUAAGCAAGAGCUCCUCAAAAGAAGACGCAGAUUCAAUACAACCAACGAUUUCAAAAUCGUUCAUGAAUGCGGAAAAUUGCAAGGACAAAACUAAGCAAGUUACUGAAUCAUUGAUAUAUAUGAUUUGCAAAGAUAAUUUGCCUGUGCGUUGUGUUGACAAGGAGGGUCUCUCAAAUUUCUUAAAAACAUGUGUACCCAAAUAUGAGCUUCCAAGUCGUACAA